AACGAACGCUGGCGGCAGGCUUAACACAUGCAAGUCGAACGCAUCCUUCGGGGUGAGUGGCAGACGGGUGAGUAACGCGUGGGAACGUGCCCUUCAGUUCGGGAUAACCCAGGGAAACUUGGGCUAAUACCGGAUACGUGCGAGAGCAGAAAGAUUUAUCGCUGAAGGAUCGGCCCGCGUCUGAUUAGCUAGUUGGUGGGGUAAUGGCCCACCAAGGCGACGAUCAGUAGCUGGUAUGAGAGGAUGAUCAGCCACAUUGGGACUUAGACACGGCCCAAACUCCUACGGGAGGCAGCAGUGGGGAAUAUUGGACAAUGGGCGCAAGCCUGAUCCAGCCAUGCCGCGUGAGUGAUGAAGGCCUUAGGGUUGUAAAGCUCUUUCGUCCGGGACGAUAAUGACGGUACCGGAAGAAGAAGCCCCGGCUAACUUCGUGCCAGCAGCCGCGGUAA
rnacentral:rRNA from 1 species